rnacentral:rRNA from 1 species
UACGGAGGGUGCAAGCGUUGCUCGGAAUUAUUGGGCGUAAAGGGUAGGUAGGUGGUCUCAUUUGUCUGGGGUGAAAGCCUUGAGCUUAACUCAAGAAGUGCCCCAGAAACGGUGAGACUGGAGUCCUGGAGAGGGUCGUGGAAUUCCCGGUGUAGCGGUGAAAUGCGUAGAGAUCGGGAGGAACACCAGUGGCGAAGGCGGCGACCUGGACAGGCACUGACACUCAACUACGAAAGCGUGGGGAGCAAACAGG